AGAGUAUUUAUCUGAAAAUUGUCGUCUCUCUCUCCCUCUCUCUCUCCCGUGUGUGUGUCCACAAAAUCUUCCGCCGCAUCUCACUUGUCUCUCUAUCUCUAAAAUGGCUUCCACUUCUCUCCUCAACGCCUCUCUGUCUUCUCUCAGCCCUAAUCAUGACCUCAUCCGCCGCCACCCCUCCUCCCCUCUCCUCCGCUACCGCCCCGUCCUCGUCUCAUGCACCUCCUCCGCCGAGGGAAAAAACACCACCACCCCGAUCGAAACAGUCGCCAAGCCUCGCCGUACCGAGAACACCAUCCGCGACGACGCUCGCCUCCAGCGCUCCACCGCCGCGAAUCCGUUCUCCGCCAGAUACGUCCCGUUCAACGCUCCCCCGGAUCCACCGAGCACUACUCCCUCGACGAGAUCGUCUACCGCAGCCGCUCGGGAGGUCUCCUCGACGUCGAGCACGACAUGGAGGCUCUGAAGCGGUUCGACGGCGCGUACUGGCGAGAUCUCUUCGACUCGCGAGUCGGCAAGAGCUCGUGGCCUUACGGAUCGGGCGUGUGGUCUAAGAAAGAGUGGGUGCUCCCGGAGAUCGACGACGACGACAUCGUCUCGGCCUUCGAAGGGAACUCCAACCUCUUCUGGGCGGAGAGGUUCGGGAAGAAGUUUCUAGGGAUGAACGAUCUCUGGGUGAAACACUGUGGGAUUAGCCAUACCGGAAGUUUCAAGGAUCUCGGUAUGACCGUUUUGGUUAGCCAAGUUAACCGGUUAAGAAAAAUGAAACGUCCUGUUGUCGGCGUUGGUUGCGCUUCCACUGGUGACACAUCAGCAGCUCUAUAUCCGCUUACUGCGCCUCCGCGGGGAUCCCUUCGAUCGUCUUCUUGCCUGCGAACAAGAUCUCGAUGGCUCAGCUUGUUCAGCCGAUAGCCAACGGUGCGUUUGUUCUGAGCAUCGACACUGAUUUCGAUGGCUGUAUGAAGCUUAUCAGAGAGAUAACCGCUGAGUUACCUAUUUACUUGGCGAACUCGUUGAAUAGUUUGAGGUUAGAAGGGCAGAAGACUGCGGCGAUUGAGAUUCUUCAGCAGUUUGAUUGGCAAGUUCCUGAUUGGGUGAUUGUUCCCGGUGGCAAUCUCGGUAACAUCUACGCUUUCUACAAAGGUUUCAAGAUGUGUCAAGAGCUUGGACUCGUGGACAGGAUCCCGAGGAUGGUUUGUGCUCAGGCGGCUAAUGCGAAUCCUCUUUACUUGCAUUACAAGUCUGGCUGGAAGGACUUCAAGCCCAUGACCGCGAGUACCACUUUCGCCUCUGCGAUUCAGAUCGGUGACCCUGUGUCCAUCGAUAGAGCUGUGUACGCUCUCAAGAAGUGUGACGGGAUUGUGGAGGAAGCGACUGAGGAGGAGCUGAUGGAUGCGAUGGCUCAGGCGGAUUCUACUGGGAUGUUUAUCUGUCCUCAUACGGGUGUGGCUUUGACUGCUUUGUUUAAGCUGAGGAACAGAGGAGUGAUUGCGCCGACUGAUAGGACUGUGGUUGUGAGUACUGCUCAUGGGUUGAAGUUUACUCAGUCGAAGAUUGAUUAUCACUCCAAGGCCAUCCCUGACAUGGAGUGCAGAUUCUCCAAUCCUCCUGUUGAAGUGAAAGCUGAUUUUGGAGCUGUUAUGGAUGUUCUCAAGAGUUACUUAGGAAGCCAGACACUUAGGUCAUAAGAAACAGACCAUCUUCUUUCGUUUUGUUUUUUUUUGUUUUUGAAAGCUGUUAGUUG